GAAAAAGUAUGGAAAAUCAAGGAAAAUAAGUGAAAAAGGUGGUGAGUCCUCCGAUAAAGGCAAGGAAAUUGCACCCGAGGACCAAUAGUCUGAGUACUUCAGAAAUCUGCACUCUAGACAUUGUUCAGAUUAGGUUGUAGAUAGCUGAGUUCAUCGAGGACUAC
rnacentral:sRNA from 1 species